rnacentral:rRNA from 1 species
GCCCGUCGCUCCUACCGAUUGGAUGACUCGGUGAAAUCACCGGAUGCUUACGAGCAGAAAGUGAUUAAAUCACGUUAUCUAGAGGAAGGAGAAGUCGUAACAAGGUAACGGUAGGUGAACCUGCCGUUGGAUCAGUUCUAGUUUUAAUAACUAACACCAACUUCUUUUAUUAAACAAAAACCAAUACAAAAUUAAAAACUAACUUCAUCAAAAACCAAGUCUCUAAGCAAUGGAUGUCUUGGCUCCUCACACGAUGAAGAA